rnacentral:rRNA from 1 species
UACGUAGGUGGCAAGCGUUAUCCGGAUUUAUUGGGCGUAAAGGGAACGCAGGCGGUCUUUUAAGUCUGAUGUGAAAGCCUUCGGCUUAACCGGAGUAGUGCAUUGGAAACUGGGAGACUUGAGUGCAGAAGAGGAGAGUGGAACUCCAUGUGUAGCGGUGAAAUGCGUAGAUAUAUGGAAGAACCCCAGUGGCGAAAGCGGCUCUCUGGUCUGUAACUGACGCUGAGGUUCGAAAGCGUGGGUAGCAAACAGG